rnacentral:rRNA from 1 species
GCUAAAGACGUGGCGGGAGCUGCGGUAAUAGGUGGGGGGGAGGGGUUAGCCGGAGUUACGGGGUGGAAAGGGAGCGUAGACGGUGUGGCAAGUCUGAUGGGAAAGGCAUGGGCUCAACCUGUGGACUGCAUUGGAAACUGUCAUACUUGAGUGCCGGAGGGGUAAGCGGAAUUCCUAGUGUAGCGGUGAAAUGCGUAGAUAUUAGGAGGAACACCAGUGGCGAAGGCGGCUUACUGGACGGUAACUGACGUUGAGGCUCGAAAGCGUGGGGAGCAAACAGGAUUAGAUACCCCUGUAGUC